rnacentral:rRNA from 1 species
AGUUCGAUCAUGGCUCAGAUUGAACGCUGGCGGAUGCUUUACACAUGCAAGUUUGAACGGCAGCACGGACUUCGGUCUGGCGAGUGGCGAACAGGGUGAGGCUGUAUCGGAACGUGCCUAGUAGCGGGGAUAACUACGCGAAAAGCGGUAGCCACACCGCAUACGCCCUUCGGGGGAAAGCGGGGGACCUUCUUCGGGCCUCGCACUAUUAGAGCGGCCGAUAUCGGAUUAGCUAGUUGGUGGGGUAACGGCUCACCAAGGCGACGAUCCGUAGCUGGUUUGAGAGGACGACCAGCCACACUGGGACUGAGACACGGCCCAGACUCUUACGGGAGGCAGCAGUGGGUGGCUCAAUGGGGGAAAACCCCGAUCCAGCCAUCUCAAGCGUGUGCGAUGAAGGCCUUCGGGUUGUAAAGCACUUUUGGCAGGAAAAGAAACGGCACGGGAUAAUACUCCUGUGCAUAACUGACGGUACCAGCAGAAUAAGCACCGGCUAACUAUGUGCCAGCAGCCGCGGUAAUACGUAGGGUGCAAGCGUUAAUCGGAAUUACUAGCGAAGGCAGCAGAGCACGCCCGGAAAGAAACAGAGACAUGAAAUCCCAGAGCUUAACGAACCGCAUUAACUGAGCUAGAGUGUGCCGAGGGAGGUGGAAUCUCGCGUGUAGCAGUGAAAUGCGUAGAUAUGCGGAGGAACACCGUCAUGGCGAAGGCAGCCUCCUGAUAACACUGACGCCUAUGCACGAAAGCGUGGGGGAGCAAACAGGAUUAGAUACCCUGGUAGUCCACGCCCUAAACGAUGUCAACUAGCUGUUAGCUUCGGGCUCCUGGUAGCGCAGCUAACGCUAGUGAAGUUGACCGCCUGGGGAGUACGGUCGCAAGAUUAAAACUCAAAGGAAUUGACGGGGAUUCCGCACGCGGUGGAUGAUGGGAUUAAUCUGGGAUGCAACGCGAAAAACCUUACCUACCCUUGACAUGUCUGAAUCCCGAAGAGAUUUGGGAGUGCUCGCAAGAGAACCGGAACACAGGUGCUGCAGGGCUGUCGUCAGCUCGUGUCGAGAUGUUGGGUUAAGUCCUGCAACGAGCGCAACCCUUGUCAUUAGUUGCUACGAAAGGGCACUCUAAUGAGACUGCCGGUGACAAACCGGAGGAAGGUGGGGAUGACGUCAAGUCCUCAUGGCUCCUGUGGGUAGGGCUUCACACGUCAUACAAUGGUCGGGACAGGGCCAACCCGCGAGGGGGAGCCAAUCCCAGAAACCCGAUCGUAGUCCGGAUCGCAGUCUGCAACUCGACUGCGUGAAGUCGGAAUCGCUAGUAAUCGCGGAUCAGCAUGUCGCGGUGAAUACGUUCCCGGGUCUUGUACACACCGCCUGUCACACUAUGGGAGUGGUUUUACCAGAAGUAGUUAGCCCAACGGUGAAUGAGGGCGAUUACCACGGUAGAUUCAUGACUGGGGUGAAGUCAACAAGGUAA